UGGGGAAUUUUGGACAAUGGGCGAAAGCCUGAUCCAGCAAUGCCGCGUGUGUGAAGAAGGCCUUCGGGUUGUAAAGCACUUUUGUCCGGAAAGAAAUCCUUGGCUCUAAUACAGUCGGGGGAUGACGGUACCGGAAGAAUAAGCACCGGCUAACUACGUGCCAGCAGCCGCGGUAAUACGUAGGGUGCAAGCGUUAAUCGGAAUUACUGGGCGUAAAGCGUGCGCAGGCGGUUUGCUAAGACCGAUGUGAAAUCCCCGGGCUCAACCUGGGAACUGCAUUGGUGACUGGCAGGCUAGAGUAUGGCAGAGGGGGGUAGAAUUCCACGUGUAGCAGUGAAAUGCGUAGAGAUGUGGAGGAAUACCGAUGGCGAAGGCAGCCCCCUGGGCCAAUACUGACGCUCAUGCACGAAAGCGUGGGGGAGCAAACAGGAUUAGAUACCCUGGUAGUCCACGCCCUAAACGAUGUCAACUAGUUGUUGGGGAUUCAUUUCCUUAGUAACGUAGCUAACGCGUGAAGUUGACCGCCUGGGGAGUACGGUCGCAAGAUUAAAACUUAAAGGAAUUGACGGGGUCAUAGCUGUUUCCU
rnacentral:rRNA from 1 species